CUCGGAGUUUGAUCCUGGCUCAGAUUGAACGCUGGCGGAAUGCUUUACACAUGCAAGUCGAACGGUAGAGGGGGCAACCCCCGAGAGUGGCGAACGGGUGAGUAAUAUAUCGGAACGUGCCCAGUCGUGGGGGAUAACGUAGCGAAAGUUACGCUAAUACCGCAUACGAUCUAAGGAUGAAAGCGGGGGACUCGUAAGAGCCUCGCGCGAUUGGAGCGGCCGAUAUCAGAUUAGGUAGUUGGUGGGGUAAAGGCUCACCAAGCCAACGAUCUGUAGCUGGUCUGAGAGGACGACCAGCCACACUGGAACUGAGACACGGUCCAGACUCCUACGGGAGCAGCAGUGGGGAAUUUGGACAAUGGGGCGAAAGCCUGAUCCAGCAAUGCCCGCGUGCAGGAAGAAGGCCUU
rnacentral:rRNA from 1 species